CUCACAAUACAAGUAUCAUAAAAUAACCUAUUGCACUGACCCACGAUACAAGUUUCUUAAAUAACCUAUUAGCACGAUACAAGUAACAUAAAAUAACCUAUUGAACCGAGCCAUUGACGUGAAAAGAAUCAAACCAAACCAUUGACAUGAAAAAAUGAUGGUUCAACCAAUGCUCACGAUACAAGUAAACAUAAAAUAACCUAUUGAACCGAACUAUUGACAUGAAAAGAAUCAAAUAACCUGUUGAACCAAACCAUUAACAUGAAAAGAAUCAUGAACCAUAGAUAGGAAAAGAUGAUGGUCCAAUGACAACCUAACAUCUAGUGGCACGACUUAGCCGGAACUGGUCUAUGUGAACGCACAACAAGGCCACUAAUGGCACGACUUAUAUGUGAAUGCACAACAAGGCCAUUACCGCGCGACAUGAAAAGAUGAUGGUCCAACCAAUGACAACCUGACAUCUAGUGGCACGACUUAGCCAGAACUGGUCUAUGUGAACACGCAACAACGCCGUUCACGCGGGAGCGCUGCUCUGUUAAGCCAGCCCAGGAGUACACACCCCAACUCCCAAUGUCACCUCCUUCAGGAAGUGUGACGGUCUGAGUCUUAUUACACAUGUCAGUCUUAAGUCUUAUGUCUUACUACAUGUCACAGCUCCUUCAGGGAGUAACUGUCUGAGUAUUAUUACAGCUGCAAUAAUACUAAUUUAGUUCCCAAGCCAAAUCAACACACUAAUUGUCAUCAAUUGGUUGAUCAUUUUGGUUGUCCCAAUCAUCUUAUUGCUCCCACUUGGGUUACAAGCUUAAGUUACUAAGCUCAGCAGCGUGUGGUGUUUGGUUGAGUUCUUUUAAACUGGAUGUGUUGGUGUUCUGCCAAUGAUGUGGGACAAGAAAUUGAUUAGUGCCUAACAAAGCCAAGUGAAUCUCGGCGGCUUUGUGGAUCGUGGUGAUGGACCAUGUGGAACUUAGUUCGAGGGGGAGAUUGUUGGGUGUGGGUAGUGUAAAGUGCAGUAAACCUUGGAAAUUGACUGGUGGAUCGUGGUGAUGGGCCGUGUGGAACUUAGUUCGAGGGCAAGAGGACAAAGUGUUCGAGAUGAGUUGUAAAAUACUUGUAGUUACACUCACCGUCAAAUUAUGUUCUAUGUUGAUCGGAUUAUUCAAGAAUAUUGACGGAUGCGUGUCAGAUCCUCCAAAAAUAGUGUGUAAUUUUGAAGAAUCUGACAUAGUGCGGCAACAUUUUUGGAGAGUCUAAGCAACUUUGAUUAUGUGUCCCAUUCAAUUCUUUGGGAGAAUUUAGUGUCAGUAGAUAAUAUUAGAUCAAUUCGAGAAAAUAUGUAUGUAAAAUUGUAAAAUAUCUAGUUUGAUGUAGAGACCAUAGAUUUAUGUGUACCAUAUAAAUGUUUGGUAUGAAGGAAAAUAUUUUUCAAUUUUUCAUGUUCAGUUGGUCAAAGUUUUCAUCGUCCCCACCUCCCCAAUGUCUAGAAAGUCUCAUUAAAGUCCAAUAUGCGUACUCAUCUUAAAAAUGAUAGGGUGGAAUGAAACUAUUAAAACGAUGAUGAUCCAACCAGUGACAACUCGACCUUUAGUGGCGAUUUGGUCGGGUCUUCAUCAUGAGUCGCGGAGCCCCAAACCCCUAGCCCAAUGUAUGGAGAGUCUACUUAUAGUCCAAUGUGAGUGCUCAUCUUAAAAUGAUAUGGUUGGGGUACGAAACUACUAAAAAAAUGACAUCUAAUGGCGCGACUUAGCCGCAUUGAACCCAACCAUUGACGCGUGAAAAGAUGGUGGAUCAUCCAAUUGACAAAACAUCUUGUGGCACAACUUGGCCCGAACUGGUGUUAUUUGAUAUCACAAGCAGCCCAUCUGGCAGGAAGCACGAUACAAGUUUCAUAAGAUGACCCAUCGAACCGAACCAUUAACAUGAAAAACGAUGGUCCAACCAAUGACAUCUAAUGUCGCGACUUAGCCAGUUCAAACCAUUCACAUGAAAAUGACGAAAUCAUUGACAUGAAAAGACUUCGCCGUAUUGAACCAAAUCAUCGGGCAUGAAAAGAUGAUAGUCACCGUAUUGAAUCGAACCAUUGACAUGAAAAGAUGAUGGUUCAACCUGACAUCUUAGCGGCACGACUUAGCCGGAACUGGUCUAUGUGAAUGUUGAACCAUUCACGAUGGAGCUCUGUUAAAAGCCAAGCCAAGCCCAGGAGGCGGCUUGGGCAUGCAUUCACACACACCCAUCCUGCCUGCUCCCCCGCUCAAUGUCAACUCAAGGACCGACACGUUCUUGCUGAAAGUCAUUCCAAAUAGUUGGGCAUUCUGGUUGUCCCUAUCAUCUUAGGGUAACUCCUUGAGUUACAUGCUUAAGUUACUAAGCCAAGCACUUUUCUAUUGUUUGGUUGAGUUCUUUUAAACUGGAUGUGUUGGUGUUCUGCCAACGAUGUGGGACAAGGAAUUAAUUACUGCCAAAGCCAAGGGCACACAAGUGAAUCUCGGUGGCUUCGUGGAUCGUGGUGAUGGAUCACGUGGAACUUAGUUCGAGGGGUAGAUUGUCGGGUGUGGGUAGCGCAAAGUGCAGUGAAUCUUGGAAAUUGACUGGUGGAUCGUGGUGAUGGGCCGUGUGGAACUUAGUUCGAGGGCAAGAGGACAAAGUGUUUGAGUUGAGUUGCAAAAUACUUGUAGUUAAACUCACAGUCAAAUUAUGUUCUAUGUUUGAUCGGACUAUUCAAGAAUGUCGAUGGAUGCGUGUUAGAUCCUCCAAAAGUAGUGUGUAAUUUUGAAGAAUCUAACAUAGUGCGACAACAUUUUUGAUGAGUCUGAGCAACUUAGAUUAUGUGUGUCAUUCAAUUCUUUAGGAGAAUUUGGUGUCAGUAGAUAAUAUUAGAUCAAUUCUAGAAAGUAUGUACGUAAAAUUGUAAAAUAUUUAGUUUGAUGGAGAGACCAUAGAUUCAUGUGUACCACAAGUUUUAGAGUAAAUUUGCCCAUGUUUGAUAUGGAGGAAAAUAUUUUUCGAUUUUUCAUUGUUCAGUUGGUCAAAGUUUUCAUCGUCCCCACCUCCCCAAUGUCUAGGAAGUCGUACUCAUCUUAAAACGAUGAUGGAUAUGGAUACACAUACAACACAACUCGACCUUUAGUGGCUCUUUGCUCGGGCCUUCUUCAUGAGUCGCGGAGCCCCAAACCCCUAGCCCAAUGUCUCUAGAGUCUAGUAAAAGUCCAAUUUGAGUGCUCAUCCACUCAUCCUCACAAUCUCUCCCACCCCUUCGGCUCGAGAUGUGUAUCACCCCAAGCAGAACAACCAAAUCAACUAAGCUCAGCAGCAUGCUUGGUCUAGUUGAACUUAUAUAAACAUGAUGUAUUAGUCUUCAGUCAUCGAUGUGUGCUAGCAAACAUUUGUUGCAUGUGAAAAACUUUGUACUCUCUCAAUCACAUCAUUGCAAUAGAGGGAGUAGUAAUUAAGGGUGUGUUCGAUAUGGAGGAAAAUAUUUUUUGAAUGAUGUUUUUUUUUUAAUUUUCUCACGUUUGGUUGGUCAAACAUAGCUGAAAGAGAAAGCCAUGGUACAAUCAUUAUACUAGAAUUUUCUUCUUACCAACUAUUGACUCUCACCAAAAGUACUGUUAAACUCUUUAGAGCUAGUUUGUUUCGGAAAUAAAUUAUCUCGGGAUUAAUUAUCUCGAGUUUAUUUCAAAAUUGUUAUUUCACAGAAAUAAUAUUAUAAUUUCGAGAUUUAUAUGUUGAUGUUGUUCUUGUUGUAAGCAUGAAAUAAGUUCAUCCUAAAAUUAAUCUCGAUAGUCUUGGUCUUUAGUAAACACUCUUUUUUUAAACACCAAAAACCAAUAAGUUUACUUUUUUUAUCAAAUUCUUUUUUCAGUUUCAGUUUUUGCUGCUACAGGAAGUUACAAAAGUGGCAUAUUCUGCUAAGAUUCUUGGAAUAUUCCGGUGACUCAGAUCAGAUUCUGGUGGAAAUUUGUGAUAUCUGGCCACCAUUUUAGAUUCUUUAAGUUUUAUUGGGGUGUAAGUUUGGGGGGGGGGGGGGGGUUAAAGAAGGUUGUGUGAUUGUUUAAAAAUCUAAUCUUUAAAGAAAAUGGGGUCUAAGUAGAGUGUUUGGGGGUGAGGGGAUAAAGAAGGUUGUGGUUGUAUAAAAAUCUAAUCUUUAUGGGGAAAUUUGAUGUGAUUUUGGGAAAAUGAUGUAAUGUAUAGUGAAGAUAGAUUCCAUGGGUUCUUGCCAGAGUGUUGAAGAAGAUAUAGCAGAAAAAAGACCACAGAGUAAACCAGGUAUUGUCUUUUUCUUGAGGGUGGGGGNNNNNNNNNNNNNNNNGGUGGUCGUGUGGGUGCAGGUACAGUGGUGUAGUAUUGCUCAUGUAGUUUCCUUGUCAUUCGAUUUGUGUUACUAUCUGUUGUUUCUUGUACUUUAGUUAUCCUAUUAUUUUGCUGUAGUUAUUGUUCAAAAUGCAUGGUAUUGCUCCUGUACCUUCCUUUGUCCUUUGGUUUGUGUUACUAUAUGUUAUUUCUUAUACUUCGUUUAUUGUAUUAUUUUGCUCUAGUUACAGUUUAGAAUGCUUUGUUAUUUGUUUCGCUAUCCGUCCAUACUUGUAGCGGUAGUAUUGCUACUGAAAUGGGGUCUAAGUAGAGUGUUUCUGGGGGUGGGGGUGGGGGGUAUAAAAGUAUAAUCUUAAGGGAAGUUUGAUGUGAUUUUGGGAAAAUGAUGGAUUGUUACAAUGUGAAUGUAUUGUGCUAGGAUAGAAGGUUAGUAGGCAGUAGUCAGGGGAGGAGCUACCCUUCAAGUAGGGGUUCAUCCCUCUUCAUUGGAAAUUAUGUUAUAUAUACAUAGUUAAAAUUAUUUUUAUGUAUAUAUAGUAGAUGUUGAACCACUUUGAUUAGUUCGUAUGUUCGCUAAUGAACCCCCUUAGUGAAAAUCCUAGCUCCGCCACUGGCAGUAAGUAGUGUGUAGUCUCAUUAUCUGUCCAUGCUAGUAGGCGUAGUAUCGCUCAUUAUUGUGUCCUUGUUUGUGUCACUAUUUGUUGUUUCUAGUACUUCGAUUAUCGUGUUAUUUUGCUGUAGUGAAUGUUUAGAAUGCUUUGUUAUGCUUCCUACCUCUUUUUCUGGAUUGCUUUGGAUUGUUUUCAUGAAGCCGAGGGUAUAUUGCAAACAGUCUCUCUACCUCUAAGGUAGGGGUAAGGUCAACGUACACGCUAUCCUCGCUAGACAACACGUUGUGAAACUACACUGGGUAUGUUGUUGUAAUCGUCUUGCUUUCAGCAAGAUCACUUUUCUUAGACAUUUUAGGCUUGCAGAUUCUAUAAGUGUAACAAAUCUACAGCUUUGAUUAGUGUUAUCAAAGGUGAAAAAUGCAAGAAGCUCUAAGGUCCAUUGGAGCUUUAAGCGCAAACAAAGUGUAGGCUUUAAUGAAGACAGACACAAAGUAAAAAAAUACAAAUAUGUUAAGUGUAGUUCAAGACUAAUAAUUAUAAGCAUAGAUAACAAACAUAUGGACAAAGAAACUGAAAAGACAAAGUGAAAUGUCAAUUGUUCAGUCUCGUCUCUUUAGGAAAACUAUGCCUUAGAGUAUUGAUGACGACACUGAAGCGCUUUCUAUACAGGUGAAGCACACAACCACAUGUUUUGUGCAUCGAUUUAGGGCUUAAGCGCGCCUUUGAUAACACUGCUUCUGAAACAUAGGAUCUCCAAAUGUAACAUAAUUGAAUAUGCCAACCGAGGUUGUGUUGUUUUAUAUUUUGAUUCGUUUACUCUCAGUUGGCGAAGGAGUUGGUGCAUAUCCUACCAAGAGAAAUCCUUUAAUUCAACCGAAGUUAAAUACGCUUGAAGGGCAUGACUCUAGACGUAGAAGUAGCAUCGGGAUAAUACCUGAAACUGUCGAGGACCUGCAGCAGAAUCCAGGGAUUAGUGAUCUGGAUAUUUUCAAGUACGAAGAAAUGAAAUUGGCUACGAAGCACUUUCGAAGGGAUCAGGUUCUCGGAGAGGGUGGAUUUGGCAUCGUCUACAAGGGAGUUAUAGAUGAACAAGUCAGGCGGGGAUACAAGACCACUUACGUUGCCAUUAAGGAGCUUGAUCCGGAAGGUCUUCAGGGCGAUAGAGAAUGGCUGGUAGGUGCUUUGGCUUCUUGUCUGUCGACACAUUAGAUUGUUUGAUUAUCUGAAAUCCUGUUUCAUGCAUCGGUAUAGUUUAGUUUUCACUUGCAAGAGUCACCCACUGGCCACCAUCUCUACGUUUUGGCACCAUAUCCUCCUCUAAUCAACUGUUCUCCAAGCAAGCAAUGAAGGAACGAUGGCAAAAAGAGUAGCAAAUACAUGCUUGUCAAGAACACGCAAUGCCUGAUAUGCGUUAAUAAAACAAGAUAGAUUCACCAAUUCUAGGGGCAGAUUUCUCAAAUUUCAUUUUAGCCUAUGCUUCCAUCAAAUUUUGCUGUGAUUUAGCGCCGUAUGACCAGAUAUUUGAAUGGUUUUCAGCCUUACGAUGAUGCUGUAUAAUGGAAAUUAAUCAUGUAAAAUAUGCACAGCGCUUCACUUGCCAAUGGCCGUAUACUGAUUGUCUAGUUACUUUACGUGUAAUAUGUUGCAAGAUACUCCGGUGAAUUUUACAUGCUGAUCAACGUUUUCCUUGUCCUUUUCAACAUGAAGUAAAAGUCGAAAACGUUUAUAUAAAAUAUGUAAAUUUCUUGUACUAAUGGAAACUUAACUGGGACAUAACAUCACCUCAUGUUGACCUGGUUUCAUUUGAGCGGUAAGCAUUCUUUUGGGAACUGUUGAAAAGAGUACAUGUAAAGGGCGUUAUGGAUGGGCGGACGCUUUUGUUAUUCUGAAGGAAGUUUGUUUUCUGAACCCAAUUUAUACACGAAAAGGUUGUCUUCUGACCGGAUAUGCUAGGGAAGUUGCAAAACUAUGUUGCUCGUCCUUGCUUUUUCAGGCGGAGAUGAACUAUUUGGGGCAGCUUCGACAUCCAAAUCUGGUGAAGCUUAUCGGAUAUUGCUGUGAGGACGAACAUAGACUGUUGGUUUAUGAGUAUAUGGCAUCUGGCAGCCUGGAGAAGCACCUUUUUCCAAGUGAGUACUUAAUAUCAAUGCGAGUUCAUGUUGGUAAAGGUGAAACUAUUCUCUAUUCGCGUAAAAGUAAAUGAAAUGAUAACUAGAACGUAAGAAGUGAUGCAAGUUAUGGGAAUUAGCUUUUUUCUAUCUCAUUGACGUCUUGUACUUUAGGAAUGUGUGCUACUCUAACAUGGUCGAGGAGGAUGAAAGUUGCGUUGGAUGCUGCUAGAGGUCUUGCUUUUCUUCACGGAGCAGAAAUGCCAGUAAUAUAUAGGGACUUCAAGACCUCAAACAUUUUGUUAGACGCGGUGAGAUGUUGUUUUGCUGAUGUACAUUGUUUCCUUUGAAGUGCUCGUGAAACUUUUAUAUAAGUUUCAAUGUCCAUCUUUGUUUGGAUUUGGAUCUGCAGGACUUCAAUGCAAAGCUUUCCGACUUUGGACUGGCAAAAGAUGGGCCAAUCGGAGAUCAGACUCACGUAUCAACUCGUGUUCUGGGUACUUAUGGUUACGCCGCUCCAGAAUAUGUCAUGACUGGUGAGUCUAACAGCACCUUGUCCUACUCUUAAACUGUCUAUAUCCCACGCUUUGCCAUCCGUUUACUAACAAAAACCGCGUAUGAUGUACCAACACGCCAAAGAUUUGGUGCCUUCUGUAUAAUCCUCUAUGCAUAUCGCUUAUGAUUCUUCGGUUUACUGUUCUGUUUAUCGAUCAUUCUUGCUGCUCCACGCUGUAAACUAAGUUGCAAAGUUGAAUCAUUCAGGACAUUUGACAGCAAGAAGCGACGUCUAUGCUUUUGGUGUUGUUUUGCUUGAGAUGCUCAUCGGAAGGAGAGCAAUCGACAAGACUAGGCCAAGCCGGGAAUACAACCUUGUAGAGUGGGCACGUCCGCUCCUGACUCAUGACAAGAAACUCUUUAAGAUACUCGACCCUAGACUCGAAGGACAGUACUCCUCCAAAAUCGUCGUAAAGGUUGCUAGUCUUGCCUAUCAAUGCCUUAGCCAAAACCCAAAAGGGAGGCCUCUUAUGAGUCAAGUAGUUGAAAUUCUUGAAGCCCUUCAACCACAAGGCAAAGAUAUGAUUUCUCUAUAAUAGUCGUCCUCUAUAACAACAUUUUACUGUAACAACAAUGUCUUUUUAUGGAACCGAUCUUUCAUGUUAUGUUAUAUUAUAUGUUACGCACGGCAUGUGGAACAAACGACGUUGUUAUGGAGAUGUUUGUUUGACUAUGCAUAUUGUUACUUUUCUCAUUCCUUCAUCUAAGGGAUUGUAAUCUUGGAAGACAUAAUGUCAUGUAUCUAUUUUAGUUUCUUGUCUAGCUCUCGUUCAUAGCUUUGCUAUAGAUGAUACGUGAGGAAUCUUGUUAUAGCGGUUCUUACUUCUAAUGACCGGCAAAUCUGCAGAUGAUACGUGAGGAAUCUUGUUAUAGCAGUUGUUCCUUCUAAUGACCGGCAUCUCUACAGAUACGUGAGGAAUCUUGUUAUAGCGUUCUUCCUUCUAAUGACCGGCAUAUCUACAGAUGAUACGUGAGGAAUCUUGUUAUAGCAGUUCUUCCUUCUAAUGACCGGCAUAUCUACAGAUGAUACGUGAGAAAUUUGUUAAAGCGGUUCUUCAAAUGACCAGCAUAUCUACAGAUGAUACGUGAGGAAUAUUGUAUAGCGGUUCUUCCUUCUAAUGAUUGGCAUAUCUACAGAUGAUACGUGAGGAAUCUUGUUAUAGCAGUUUUUUCUUCUAAUGACCGGCAUAUCUAUGAUUCUUUUCACUUUAGGAAUUACUACUUAUCUUUGAUGUCCAAUUACUCUUCUAUGGUUCCAAUGUUUGGUUGGUCAAAAUAUUACGUCCUUGCUAUGAAAAUAAGUUCUUUAAAAUAUUUGUAAAAUGACUUUGUUUGUCGAACUAAGGAAAACAAACUUCAUAACUGACAUUCAACACCGUUGUGUUUGCUCUGAUAUAAAAUCUCUUGGGGAUAAUAUUUUCUGCUUACUCGUUUAACAUCUCAAAAUUAAAUAAGAAAAUCACUUAUUUUUCAAAACAAAUUUAUAUUUAUUUAGAAGGGCCAAAAAAGUCAAUGGGUUGAUAUAGAGCUUAUCCAUAAACUUUGAUUGAAAUAUAUUACAUUAAAAAAGAAAAAUUAUUGUAUUUGGAAGUAUUAACUAGUACCCAAUUUUCUUGGCACACUACCAUCACAUCAAAGAUUAUAUAAUUGAACAUAAUUAAUUAAUUAACCUUAUCAUAGCUAGCACAAUAAUUAAUUAGAUGGAUUGAGACAAAAUAGAAAUAUUAAUACAUGCAUAAAAAUCACCUUCUUUUUUUUUUUAGUUUUUUAGCCGAGCCAUCUGAUGUAGUGAGCGCAUUUUUCUUAUCUCCUAAUAUUUCGAAUUAAAAAUAUUUUUCGCCAGACUUUAAAUUUCUAAUUUCUAUAUAACUUUGUGGUAGGUAAAUACACCUGUUGUUUUUCGUGAUAAGUAUUAAAUACCAAAUAUUUAUUUAUAAUUAAUAAACUUAAAAUUAAAACAAUUAUAAAAACGUUAAAAGAAAGUGAUGGUACAAUUAAGAUAUGUCAAUUGGUAAAGCUAUCAAUAUAAAAGUGGUCACAAAACCAUCAAAGCAGUUCACUGGUUUUUAUCAUAUAUUAAAUAAUUAAAUAUCAAUUAAUUAAUUAAUUAGCUAGUUAUUAUUAUCGUUGACUAAUAGAUUAUUAUAUUUUUGUAAAAUUAUGUGUAUUUGAAAAUUUAUAAUUGAAUGUAACUAUAAGUAUUUAUUUAUAAAAGAAACAUAGAGAUAUCAUAUAUGCGAUUUAUUAAUGCAAUGACUUCGAUUAUUCUGAUACAUUAUUUAUGAACUAUAAUUAUAUUGAUGAGACUAUUCCAUCCUUAGAGGUUUCGGGUGCAAGCUUUGGGUAUGGAGAAAAUUUUGUUGCGAGCGUCACCCCCAGAAUGAGUCAUGCAGGAUGCGAUUUGAAUUAGUCGAGGCUCCAAUGCAGGUAUCAAACACCGAGCGAAAAAUAUGAAAAAAGUUAUUAUAAUACGGGGAAUAGAAUCCUUAAAAUAAUAUCAGAUUAUGGUCCGACUCUUUUUCAAACUCUACCCAUAAGGAAAACUUAAUACACUAAAUGUCCUUUUAAAAUAUUAGCUGGACUUGCUUUAGAACCACUCUAUUUUCCACUUUCACCCAUGCAAUAUUUGAUAAUGAAUAUUAAUUAUUUUACUUGAAAUACUUCUUAAUUAAAUCAAACUUUAAAUUUUUUUAUUUCAAAUUUGUAUAUGUAUAAAUUAUAGAACACUUAUAACAAUUAGCAAAGAAUAGAAACACUAUAAAUUAAAGUCGUGUAAUUUGAAUCGAGGUGAAGUUAGAAUUUUGAGAUUAUAAAUCUUAAAAUUUAAAAAUGACACGAUUUUAUCGAUUAGACGAACGUCUAGCGCGACCCCUGCAUCUAACUCAUAUACAAUUAAAUGACGACGUACAAUCAUAGGUGCCGCGAAAACUCUGACUUUAUUCUCACAAAUUAUGACAUAGACUCGAUCACUUCUAGAUUAUUGAGUAUUAAAAUAAAUAUUAACAUAUAAUAUAAUUUAUUCAAAUUAAUUUGAAAUUGAGACAUAAUAAUUGUUACUUAUGUAUGAAUUAAAUUGUCAAUAUGCAAUCAUAUCAAAAUAGGAAAAACAUCUCUUUCAAUAACCAAAUAAAAAACUUUUACACUUUUUUCUUUUUCACAUGAAACAAGAUAUUUUAGCUGACGAUAAAUAUAAUACUGUGAUAUAUUUAUAUUCUUGAUGUUAAAUCAUUGAUGUUCCCUCAAAAUUAUGAAAAUGAUGUUUGCCGUAAUUAUUGCAUGUCAAAAAUUGGAAAAAUAAUUUAUGAUUUAUGAUUUAUUUCACUUACAUAAUAAUUAAUAAUUAGGUAACGUCAAUAUCCUAUUUAUAUGGUGAAACUCAAGCAGAAGCGAAGCCAAGAUUAGAAGGUGCCUUCGUCAAGGAAGGAGCAACAAAGAAACUUUUCGAUGAAUCGAGAAUUUUGCUAGUUUUUAUUUUUUGUCAAUUCUAUUUCUUGCAACGACUUCCUAUAAGGGGGUCUUUGAAUAACUGGUAAAAUUAUUAUCUGUGAUCCGAAGAUUAAGUACUCAAGACUUCAAGCCAUAAGACCCCCCACCCAAACCCCAACAGAAAAUGUAAGCCGCAGAAGCGGAGUCAGAAUUUGACAUCUAAGGGUUCUAAUAUUAAGACCGAACAACGAUCUCGAGCUAAAAAGAUUAAGUACUCAAGACUUCAAGCCAUAGAAACACCCCCCAAACAGAAAAUGUCAGGCAGAGGCAAAGUCAGAAUUUGACGUUUGGGGAUUCUAAUACUAAGACGAUUCGAUGCGUCACAAAUAGAAUGGAUUGGACUAUACGCUGACCCACGUUAAAAGCUUUCUUCUCUUAUGAAAUUUUGAUGCACAAUUCAGACUAGCGAGUAUCUGUUUAAUUUACUUAAUACACUCACAAGCGUUCGCAUCGCAACGAUCUCGAGCGAAAAAGGAUAAACAUUGGCAAGGGCGAGGUUCGAACCCAUAUCCCCACACAAUGAAAAGGCUUUUCCGCCUUUCUCCUGACCAUUGAGACAUCAUCUUAAUAUUUAUUGAUUUUUUUAAUACAAACACAGAAUCUAUGAAAAAGUUACUGAUUCGUUCGAACCUCACAAUAUACACUAACUCCGUCCCUGAUGUAAGAUAUCAUGUCAGAGAAUAUUAUAAUAUAUGAUCAAAAAAUUAAAAAAGUUGACUAUAAUGUUCAAAUAGCCUAAAAUGUAGGACUUAAAAUUAGGAAGAAUUUGCUAAAUUCCAUAACAUGUGGCAAGCAAUAAAAGUAAGGUAGUUUUGCCUCCCCCGCCCUCCCAAUAGCCCAUAGAUUUUCUCAUUUUAGUUUGUUGAAAAUGACUACACAUACUUCAAAUGUACAAUUGGUUUACAUACUUCCACCAAAUAAAAUCUAGAGAAAAUGAUUUGUUUCUGCUCUGAAAUAUAUACAAAAUUAUUGAGAAAUAUUCAAAUUUUAGAGUCCUAUUAUUCCUGAACUAAGUAAAAUUAUAUUUUUAAUAAUUUUAAUGUCUACAUGGUACAUCAGUGAAUCAACACACUGAAGGUCCACGAAGGCACAAGUAUGUGCCACAUAGGCGCUAAGGUUGCAAAAAAUACGGUUUUAGUUAGUUCGGGGUAAUAGUACCCUCCUAAAGUUCGAAUGUGUCUCAGCAAUUUCGUGUAUAGUUCAGGGUGGAAAUACUGCGUUUUUCCUAAAAUUUAAGAAAAAAAGUUUGAAAUAUAUUUAAACUUUGACAAAAUUUAUUGUAAUAAACCUUAAUUUUGCGGGGAUCCUAUGACCCUCCUAAAUUAUUUUUACUGUAUUCCUGUGACGUAUAUUUGUUUAGUUGAACCACUUCAGACCCCUUACACUCUCAGUCUGCGGGUAUUCACGCAGUGGUCCAGCUGAAAAAUAUAUGCCACAGAAAUACGGUAAAAAAAAUCUAGGAGGGUCAUAGAAUCCCCGCAAAAUUAAGGUUUAUUACAACAAAUUUCGUCAAAAUUUACAUAUAUUUCAAACUUUUUUCCUUAAAUUUAAGUUAUUAAUUCUUGUGUUCAUUUUUUUUAUAAUCGUUGUGUCUGGAUCAGUUUUUGCGUAUCUCGAUAAAAUUUAUGGAAUAUCUGUUAUCUCCCACCAGCAAUAUAUACUAGGUAACCCUGUCCAUAAAGGUUAGGACAGAUGAAAAGAAUCACCUAGUAUAUUUUUUCCUUCGCUGGGAGCUCUUCCGUUUAUUUUUACUAGUCGCGCUUCUCUUUUCAACAACCAAAUUAUGUGAACUUUAAUCAUAAUUUAAGAUGUCUAUUAAUACGAGAAGGAUUACAAUUUAUAAUACUUUUUGUAUCAUUUUUGAACAAUUAACUUUUAAAUUUAAAAUAUUAAAUUAAUUUAAUUCAAUUUAAUUUUGAAAAUUAGUCUGAUUGACUCUAGUCAGUAAAGUAAAAUGAAACUUGAGUAACCAAUUCAUGAAAUUAACUCAUAUUUAUUAUAUAGAAAACUUGAAUAUCAUUUAUGUAUGUGAUCUAAUAUUAUAAGUGUUUUCUUAUAACAACACUUGGAGAGAUAUUAUUUCAUCAAUCGAAUCACGUGCAUCUAACAUGUCGAACGCUUAUAAACAUGUCGCAUUAACUUUUUCCAAAGUAUGAAUUAAAACUGUCUAGUAGAAAUGCUUUAUCACAUGUUGAGAUAAUUAAUUCAUAGUUCGAAUGUAAUGUUUACGAUAACAAAUUUAAAGAGUUAACGGUGUAUUUUUGCCAUUAUUUUUAAUUUCUUAGUAAGUCAAUUUUCAUUUGUCCAUUUUCCUACCUAAUUUGACUCCAACAAAUAUGACAAGAAGUUGAAUUUAUUGUUAAUAAUACUUAUUAAUUAGGUUUUAAUAAGGAUUAGAUAUAAAGUUACAUCCACCCACCUUACCAUACCAUUUUUUUAAUGUGAUAAUUAAUGUGAUUUUACAAAUUUGUGUGAUCUAGUGAUCAAUGACGUAAAAUAUAAAUAUUUUGUACCCUUUUGAAUUGUGGUCAAAGUUGCUACAACACACUCUAAUUUUACAGGGAUCCUGUUAGCUCCCCGAACUCAAUUAAACGUAUUUUUGUCACUCUUUUGUGCUGACGUGGCACCUUUUAUUACAUAAAAUGAGAUUCACGUUAAAGAUGUCACGUCAACUAAAAAGAUUGACAAAAAUACGCUAAAAUUUGGUUCAUGGAGGUAAUACGGACCCCGUGAAAUUAAAGUGUGUUGUAGCAAAUUUGGUCAUAGUUCAGGGAGGUACUAGAUUCUUUACUCGGACAAAAAAUCAAUAGUAACAACGUAACGAUACUAUAUCUCCGUGAAAUUUCAUAAAUAGGGCUUGAAGAGAAUUGUGCGUAUUCAAAUCUUACCGCUAUUUUUUGAGAUAAAAGAUUAUUUUCGAUAGACCUUUGACUCAAAAAAAGAUGUUAUUUUGUCUGGAAAUAAACUAUGGCUAGUUAACUAGAGUCGUACCUUGUGGUCGGAUCAUUUUUCGAACCUCACGCAUAAUGAAAGAUUUAAUAUACUGAACUAUUUUCUCGAUUUUUCUUUUAAUGGACUUUAUAUAUACAACGUGAAUUUAAAUUAAUCGAAUUUCAGACCGAACAGAAUUUCAGGUGCAAGACAAAAAAAGGAAAGUAGUAGUACAAUAAUAUACUACAUUAUUAUACUACAUUAUCCUAAAAUAGUAGUACGUGUCACAGUACAUCUUUAGUUCAAUUAAUUGGCAUUAUUUUAUUGUUUAAUUAAAUUAAAAAUAAAAUAAUUGGGAAAAAAUUUUUCUUUUAAAAAAAGGUAAUUCGAUAUAUUAAAGUUCUCGUUAUACGUGACGAUCGAGAAAGAAUUAAAUUAUAAAGAUUUAUUAAACGAAGUUUUACUCCAUAUAGUUGCAAGCGACUGUUUCACAACUUGAAUUCGUAACCUCCUGAUCAAGUAACAAUAAAAUAAUUUUAUAAGUUACUCUAAAAUUUCCCUUCCUGAGCACAAAAUAUAUACUUCAUUUAUUUAUUUUUAAAAUUAUAUUAUAAAAUAAAAUGAAUGAACAGAGAAGUAGCAAAGUGGAUAAAGUUUUUAGUUUUAUUAAAUUAAAUAAAUUGGGUCCACAGGAUUAGUGUCAAAUACAGAUGGGAAUAAAAGUGGUUUUGAUUUAAUUGUUUUUUUAAUCAAGUGGUUUCGAUUAAAAACUACUAUAAACAAGCAGCUGCCAAUUGUAAUAGGAAUUUAUAAUUAGACAUAUAAUUUAAUAAAACAUAUUGUUUUGAAAUUAUAAUCUUGGAUAUAUUAAUUGAUAUUUAUAUAAACACAUGUAUUAUAACGAGUUAACAACAACAAAAAUAACAUACAUAUCCAAUGAAAUCCCACAAGAUAUAAACAGAUGUAUUAAAAAAAAUAACUUUUAAAUAUGAAAAAUUAAUAAAAGAUUGUAAUAAAAAUAAAAGUCCAAAUUUAGACUAAGAAAUAUUAAAUUUAUUAUGAUAAUGAUGUUUAGAUCAGCUUGUAUUCCUUAAUUACUCUAUAAAGUUAAUAUCAUUUAUCAAUAUAGGUAACGUGUAACUCUGUUUAUUUAUAUUUGUUUGAUUGAUUUUUCAAAGUUUGCUUCUUUCGAAAUACUUUUCAAAAGAGUAUUUUAUAGUUCAAUUAAAUAAUUUAAAGAAUAUUCUUGUCUUGCAAUUUAUGUUUUACUAAGAUUUUUAAAAGUAAUUAGAGAUAAUCUACCUUUUUAACUUCUUAACAACAACAACAACAAUUAUUAUUAUUAUUAUUAUUAUUAUUAUUAUUAUUAUUAUUAUUAUUAUUAUUAUUAUUCAAAAGUAAUUACUUUUCAAUAUGUUGACCGAAUAAUCUAAUUAAAUUUUGUUUACUUUGACUUUUGACCAAUAUAAUCAGAUUUAUCAAAUAAUGUUUCUGUAUUUCAAAUAGAAUAUUACACACAUUGUUUGGAUUUAUUACCUAUUGAUUUAAUUGUGUUGUAAGUUUAAAAUUUAAAAUAAUAAAUAUUUUAAUUUUUACUAAUUUUAAUGUAGCAUAUGGUUAAUAAACUGUUAUGUAAUGAUCAGAAAAAUAUCAUUUUAUGUAACUAUCGAUUUAGUAUGAUUCUCGUUACUUUAAUUUCCCGCCAUUGGUUUGUCGUAAAUAUUUUAUCGUUUAACGUAUCUUUUAGGAUAGAUUCGUUAUAUCUUACUUUCUUUAUCGGCGUUUAUCCUUUAAGUUAUCAAUGUUUUAUAUUAUGUAAUAACGAAAAACGAUAUUUCUUAUUCAGAUAUUAUAUUCAUCAAAAUAACACAAUACGCUACUAUUAUCCAAAUAUUACAUAUUCAUUCUUGUUACCUAAUAAUAAUAUUUUAGCGUUUAACAUACCUUUUAUGAUAGCUCUACAUUAUAUCUUAUACGUUUAUCCUUUAAACUAUCGAUGUCUGAUGUAAUAUAAUAUUUACACAUUACAGACAAAAAAAUUCAUUUUAUGUAACUAUCGAUUUAGUAUGAUCAUGUGGUUACUUUGAUCUCUCCACCGCCCCUCGUCUUGUCAUCUAAUAACAAUAUUUUAGAGUUUAACGUAGCUUUUAUGAUAACUCUACAUUAUAUCUUAUACGUUUAUCCUUUAAACUAUCAAUGCCUGAUGUUAUGUAACACAAACAACGAUAUAAUCCCAACAUUAUAUUCAUUAAAAGAAAACAUCACGAUCAGUGUUGAAGUCAGUAUUUUCAUUGAGGGGGUUUAGAAGUAAAUAUACGAACUAAUCAAAGGGGUUCGUUCAGGGUGUUCAGAAGUAAAUAUACGAACUAAUCAAAGGGGUUCAACAUAUACUAUACAAGCAUAAAAAUAUUUUUAACCAUGUAAAAAUAGUAUAAAAAAAAUAUAAUUUUUCGUUGAAGAGGGUUCGAAUGAUCCUCUGGAGCAACGUAGCUCCGCCACUGAUCACGAUACAAUUUAUUCAAACAUUAUAUAUUUAUUGAAAUAACACAGUACGAUAUAAUACGAUACAUUAUUAAACAAUACAUAACCACCACCACCAAACUAAGUGUUAAUUUUUCUUACUGACGAAUCCAGAAGCCAUCAUUAAUUAGCAUAUUGUUUUGUAAUUAAUUAUUACUUAUUUAAAUCUUUCACCUAAUUAAUUGUAACACUUACAAUCUCCACUUUUUUGACUAUAUAAAGGUGUCCUCUACCUUUGCUUUCUUCAUCAUUCUCAAGCAAAAACUCUUUCAUUUGCUUCACUCAUUUCAUUUUUCUCUUUGCAUUUUCCUCUUUAAGGUAAAGUUACAUUUUUUUAAAAUUUAUUUUUUUAAUUUUUUUUUGUUUUUAAAUUUACUAGUUAAUUUUUUCAUGCAAAACAUAGUCAUUUUGUUUAGUGUUGAAUAAUGUUGAUCUCAUCUUUAAAGGGUGUUAAUGAUCUUUGAUUUUUAGUUGAGUUUUACUUGUACUACAACACCAUAAAUUUUUAGCAAUUUUUUUACCAAUUUUUUUGGUUUAGAUCAUGAGUUUUUUUUAUCAUUUGAUAAAAUAAAGCCAGAAAAAAGUUGUUUUUUGAUCUUUUAGCUAAAGAUUCCAACUUUUUUAGUUGUAGAAAGUGAUCAAGAAUUCUUUCACGAUGUGUAAAGAUGCCAUAUUGAGGUCUUCUUUUAGUUCACAUAUAUAGCUUUUUUGUCUUUAACUUUUUUAGUAGUAGAGAAUGAUCAUUGAUUAAGAUCAAGAACAAAGUAGAAGUGAUCUUGCUUGAAAAAAGUUUUGUUCUUGAUCACCCCCAAGUGGUGUAUAGAUAGUUCACAUAGUUUUUGUCACCCCCAAGGGGAGUCUAAGUUGCCUCCAUGUGAUCAGGAGGUCACGAGUUCAAGUCGUAGAAACAGCCUCUGGCAAAAAUGUAGGGUAAGACUGACGGCUUACAGUAGAUUCUUGUAGUCCGGUCCAUUCGUGGAGCCUGCACAUAUAGCGGAAACUUUAGUGCACCAGACUUUUUUUUAAGAAAAAAGUGAUCAAGAACAAAGUAGAAGUGAUCUUAGCUUGCUCGAAAAAGUUCUGUUCUUGAUCACCCCCAAGAAGUGUGUAGAUGAUAUUUUUGAGGUUUGUUUUUAGUUCACAUAGUUUUUGUCACCAACUUUUUUAGUAGUAGAAGGGGGGCCUAGUUGUCUUCAUGUGAUCAGGAGGUCACGAGUUCAAGUCGUGGAAACGGCCUCUGGCAGAAAUGCAGAGUAAGACUGACUGCGUAUAGUAGAUCCUUGUAGUCCGCUCCAUUCCUGGAACCUGCACGAAUAGCGGAAACUCAAGUACACCGAGAUGCUUUGUUUUUUUUCUUAAAGUAAUCAAGAACAAAGCAGAAGUGAUCUUUCUUGAAAAAGUUUUGUUCUUGAUCACCCCCAAGAGGUAUAUAGAUGUCAUUUUUCAGGUGUGUUUUUUUUGUUCACAUAGUUUUUGUCUCCAACUUUUUUAGUAGUAGAAAGGGAGUCUAGUUGCCUCCAUGUGAUCACGAGGUCACAAGUUCAAGUCGUGGAAACAAGCUCUUGCAGAAAUGUAGCCAGGGUAAGGUUGCAUACAGUAGAUCCUUGUAGUCCGGUCCAUUCCUGGAACUUGCACGUAUAGCGGAAACUUUAGUACACCGGGCUUCUUUACACCUCUUGAUCACCUCAAGAGGUGUAAAGAUGACAUCUUGAGUUUUGUCUUUUUGUUCACAUAAUUAGUCUCCAGCUUUUUUCCAUCUGUUCUCUUAGCUAAAAAGUGCCCUCAUUUAAGACAAAUUCAUCUACAUCACAUAGCUUAUGUAAUCCUCUUUUGCUUUACUCACCUAAUUCUUGUUUUUUCCUAGUACAUUUGCUAUUUUCUACUGAUCAAAAACUUACUUGGGGUUUUCUUAAAGAUCUUGUUUUUAUUUGGUCUUUGUCGGAAAUAGCCUCUCUACCUCAUUUCUGAGGUACCGGUACGGUCUGCGUACACUCAGAAUACACCGGCUAUGUUGUUGUUUAUUUGAUGUUUUGGUUAAACCAAGAUUGAAAAAUGAAGUAUUACUUUUGUAACAGAAAGUUCACUGUAGAUUCUUGUUGUGGUGGGGUCUUAAUUGAGUUAUUGUUUUUUUGUUGUUUAGUCUUUCUAAGCAAUCUUGGUUGUAACGCAUUGCAUUGUGCUUUUGCCACUAAAGUAUCAUUAAUGUCAUCAUGUCGGUUUGUUUCGGUUUUAUUAUUAUAAUACUAGAGGCGGAGCCAGGAUUUUUAGUUUACGGAUGUUGGAUCUGAAUUCUGAAUAAAUUUUUUAUACAUAUUAAAUAUAAUUUUUGACACACCCCUGACACGGGUUACGUAAAAGGUUAGUAGGUAGUAGGUUAUCUCUUUUUCCGAACUGCUUUAUGCUGUUUUUCCUUGAGCCGAGGGUCUAUCGGAAACAACCUCCGAGGUAGGGGUAAGGUUUGCGUGCACUCUACCCUCGCCGACCUCACUUACUGAGAUUACGUUGGGUAUGUUGUUGUUGUUGUUGUUGGCUCCACCCCGGACUAUAUUAGGUGAAGAGGUUUGAAAACUUAGGAGUGGUAACGUUAUGAUGUUGAAAAGUUAGGUGAUUCAUUGACUUUUUUAGUAUGUCAUUCUCACUUAUCAGUGAGAUUAUACUAAUUGUUACAAUAUAAAAUUUUGUUAGGUAAAUUGGAUAAGAUUAAGUGUUGCCACUUCUACUAAUUACACUAGUUUAUUUGUUGGUUGAUUACAGUUGAAAAUUUUCCCAUCUGCCGAAUCAACUGCAAUGGCUGAACGUGUUCUGACUCGUGUUCAUAGCCUUCGUGAACGUGUUGACGCUACUUUGGCCGCUCAUCGCAAUGAGAUACUGCUGUUUCUUUCGAGGUAUUAGCCUAUGGCAUGUUCUUGUUUCCUAGAAAAGAUUCGGUCAUCGUGUAAAUAACUCUAGGUGAUUUCUUUCCAUUUGCCUGAGUGUGUGUGUUGGUGAAUAUAGUUUCUCGAUAUUUGUGCUAGUGGGAGGUAGUAAACGUAUUCGUUCUGUAUGCGAUGUAAAGGAAUAUGUAUGUGAUGUAUUAUUAUACUGGUUUUGGUUAUUACAGGAUCGAAAGCCACGGAAAAGGGAUCUUGAAACCUCACCAGCUUUUGGCUGAGUUUGACGCAAUUCGCGAAGAUGACAAAAGCAAGCUGAAUGAACAUGCGUUUGAAGAUCUCCUGAAAUCCACUCAGGUAAUUUGUUUUUGUCUAUACAUCUCACCGACCUAAUAUCUGUUAUAAUUUUGAGUUUUUGUAUGAAUAUUACUACGAUACGUUAUACUAGGAAGCGAUAGUUCUGCCCCCUUGGGUUGCACUUGCCAUUCGUUUGAGGCCUGGUGUCUGGGAAUACGUCCGUGUGAAUGUCAACGCGCUAAUCGUCGAGGAGCUGACUGUCCCUGAGUAUUUGCAAUUCAAGGAAGAACUUGUCGAUGGAGCGUAAGUUUCACUCUUUUAUGUGUUGCAGAAUAGGCUAUAAUGAAUUCAUUGUUCAAUGUUUAAGUGUAUGUUUUGUGCCCUGAUGCAGCGCCAAUGGAAAUUUCGUUCUCGAGUUGGAUUUCGAACCUUUCACCGCAUCCUUUCCUAAACCAACUCUCACCAAAUCUAUCGGAAAUGGAGUUGAAUUCCUCAAUCGGCACCUCUCUGCCAAAAUGUUCCACGACAAGGAAAGCAUGACCCCGCUUCUCGAAUUUCUUCGUGCUCACCAUUACAAGGGCAAGGUAACUUGUUAGUCUCAUUUGUUGAUCGGUUUAGUUUGUUCACACCACUAUACGUAUUAGGAUAAUCACUCAGACACGUAUUAGGAUUUGGCUUCACCGUUAAAUAUUUAUAGAUAUUUAGUGAAUUUCUAAGUAACAAAUACAAGAUCCAGCUAAAAACUACUUGGUUGACGUCAACUCUGCAGUCACUAGCAACUGAAUCAUUACCGAAUGACUGAUGAAAAUAUGUUCUUUAUGAUUCCCGUACAGACAAUGAUGCUGAACGACAGAAUACAGAAUUCGGAUACUCUUCAAAAUGUCCUAAGGAAGGCGGAGGAAUACCUCAUUAUGCUUCCCCCGGACACUCCAUAUUACGAAUUCGAACACAAGUUCCAAGAAAUCGGAUUGGAGAAGGGAUGGGGGGACACAGCGGAGCGUGUGCUACAGAUGGUAUGCAUGCUUCUUGAUCUCCUUGAGGCUCCCGACUCAUGUACUCUUGAGAAGUUCUUGGGAAGAAUUCCGAUGGUGUUUAACGUGGUUAUCCUUUCCCCUCACGGAUAUUUCGCCCAAGAAAACGUCUUGGGUUAUCCCGAUACUGGUGGCCAGGUGCAUUUCCUAAAUCGUUAGUCGUUAUUGCUAAUUAUCUUUCGAAUGCUCGAUUUCGUGAAUGCUAAGGUCUUUCACCCCUGAUGUUUAGGUUGUCUACAUAUUAGAUCAAGUUCCCGCCUUGGAGCGUGAAAUGCUUAAGCGCAUGAAGGAGCAAGGACUUGAUAUCAUACCGCGUAUUCUUAUUGUUAGUAUUUCCUGUACUUGUAUAUUCUGAGGAGCGAGUAUUAUAUAUACAUAAUUUCUCGUUGUUUCGACAACUGAUCUUGCCGUUAUUCCCAGGUUACUCGACUGCUGCCUGAUGCAGUUGGAACCACUUGCGGUCAGCGUCUUGAGAAGGUGUAUGGAACAGAACACUCGCAUAUACUUAGGGUCCCUUUUAGAACUGAGAAGGGCAUCGUUCGCAAAUGGAUCUCUCGUUUUGAAGUGUGGCCAUACAUGGAGACUUUCAUCGAGGUGACAAAAGCUUCAUUGUAUUCGUCUUAUCUUCCGAUACGUAUCUGGAACAAUUUACUAAUUAGUAUAAAACUGAUUUUUCAUACAUCAGGAUGUUGCGAAAGAAGUUUCUGCAGAACUGCAGGCCAAGCCAGAUUUGAUAAUCGGCAACUACAGCGAGGGCAAUCUUGCUGCUUCUUUGCUUGCUCACAAGUUAGGCGUAACGCAGGUCUGUGGGUGUUUUCACCUCUUAUAUAUCUGAUUGCAUUUCCAUUAGUUUGGAGCUAAGAGUACUAACGUUUUUCUUUUUCACCGUGUUCUUUGCCUUCUGCAGUGCACCAUCGCCCACGCGUUGGAGAAAACGAAGUAUCCUGAUUCCGAUAUCUACUGGAAAAAGUUUGACGAAAAAUACCAUUUCUCGUCCCAGUUUACAGCUGAUCUUAUUGCGAUGAAUCACACCGAUUUCAUCAUCACAAGCACCUUUCAGGAGAUAGCAGGAAGGUACAAACAUUAACAUGCUUUCGUUGAACACCGUUGUAUUCAUUUUUUCCCGUGCUUAAUCCUAAAUCCUUGUCGAUUUUUUUCAGCAAGGACACUGUGGGACAGUAUGAGAGCCAUAUGGCAUUCACGAUGCCUGGAUUGUACAGAGUUGUUCACGGCAUUGAUGUGUUCGACCCCAAAUUCAACAUUGUCUCACCUGGAGCUGAUGUUAACCUCUACUUCCCGUACUCUGAGACGGAAAAGAGACUUACAGCACUUCACCCUGAAAUUGAAGAGCUGCUGUAUAGUGACGUUGAGAAUGACGAACAUCUGUAAGUUUCUACCAUAGUGGUACAGAUUUACGUUGCUUAUGUAGACGAUGUUGUGCUAAACAGGUUGUGCUUUUUGCAGGUGUGUGCUCAAGGACAGGAACAAACCAAUCUUAUUCACGAUGGCUAGAUUGGAUCGUGUGAAGAAUUUAACCGGACUUGUUGAGUGGUACGCGAAGAAUCCACGACUGAGGGCGUUGGUUAACCUUGUUGUAGUUGGUGGAGACCGAAGGAAAGAGUCCAAGGAUUUGGAAGAACAGGCCGAGAUGAAGAAGAUGUAUGAGCUGAUAAAGACUCAUAAUUUGAACGGCCAGUUCCGAUGGAUUUCUUCCCAGAUGAACCGAGUGAGGAAUGGUGAACUCUAUCGAUACAUCGCUGAUACUAAGGGAGCUUUCGUGCAGCCUGCAUUCUACGAGGCUUUUGGUCUGACCGUUGUUGAAGCCAUGACCUGUGGUUUGCCUACAUUUGCAACUAAUCACGGUGGUCCAGCUGAGAUCAUCGUUCAUGGAAAGUCCGGUUUCCACAUUGAUCCAUAUCACGGUGAGCAAGCUGCUGAUCUGCUAGCCGAUUUCUUUGAGAAAUGUAAGACAGACCCUUCGCAUUGGGAAACCAUUUCAACUGGUGGACUGAAGCGCAUUCAAGAGAAGUAAGCAACUCUUUCUCAACACUAACCAUCGAGACUAAUUCAAGAUUUCAGGCAUAGUUGAUUGAUGUUUUAUCGUGUCUUUACUACAGGUACACGUGGCAAAUCUACUCGGAGAGGCUGUUGACACUGGCAGCUGUUUACGGGUUCUGGAAGCAUGUUUCCAAGCUUGAUCGUCUAGAAAUCCGUCGCUAUCUUGAAAUGUUUUACGCUCUCAAGUACCGCAAGAUGGUGAGUUCUUCUACCUGCGUUUUCGCCUAGUGUUUACGACGCGAUUACAUUCUCUUAGAGAGGUUUUUUCUUUGGUUUUUCUUUUAGGCUGAAGCUGUUCCAUUGGCUGCUGAGUGAAUGAAGGUGUGCCUGUUGGUUGAAUAAACAAGAAGAGGCUUCUGGUUUUAAUUUUCUGUCUAGUGUUUUUGUUUGCCAACUACCUCCCCACGCAACCCCCACCCCACCCCCCUUUCUUUGUACUUCUGUUUUGGUCUACAUUUUGUUCUGCCAAUAUUGGUUGGAGAAUUUUAAGUUGUUAGUAUGAAUAAAAAAGAUCAAAUUUCAAUCUGUUUAAUUCAGCUUUCUUUUAUCAUGAGUAAUGCUAGAAUAGAAGGGAAGCCUCGGCGCAACAGUAAAGUUGUCUUCGUGUAAUUUAUAGGUAACUGGUUCGAGUUGUGGGAAAAGCCACUAGUGAUUUUAUUAGUGUACGCGGUCUAUAUCACACACAUCUUGGGGUGCGGCUCUUCCCCGGACUCUUCUAACGCGGGAUAAUCUAUAUCACACCUCUUGGGGUGCGGUUCUUCCCCGGACUCUACUAACACGGACUCUACUAACACGGGAUAAUCUAUAUCACACCUCUUGGGGUGCGGCUCUUCCCUGGACUCUACUAACGCGGG
rnacentral:lncRNA from 1 species